rnacentral:rRNA from 1 species
CCUACGGGUGGCAGCAGUCGAGAAUCAUUCACAAUGGGGGAAACCCUGAUGGUGCGACGCCGCGUGGGGGAAUGAAGGUCUUCGGAUUGUAAACCCCUGUCAUGUGGGAGCAAAUUAAAAAGAUAGUACCACAAGAGGAAGAGACGGCUAACUCUGUGCCAGCAGCCGCGGUAAUACAGAGGUCUCAAGCGUUGUUCGGAAUCGCUGGGCGUAAAGGGUGCGUAGGCUGUUUCGUAAGUCGUGUGUGAAAGGCGCGGGCUCAACCCGCGGACGGCACAUGAUACUGCGAGACUAGAGUAAUGGAGGGGGAACCGGAAUGCUCGGUGUAGCAGUGAAAUGCGUAGAGAUCGAGAGGAACACUCGUGGCGAAGGCGGGUUCCUGGACAUUAACUGACGCUGAGGCACGAAGGCCAGGGGAGCGAAAGGGAUUAGAUACCCGAGUAGUC